AUUUCUCGGCCUCUUCCUCUUUUUGUUUCAAACCCAACGUAGUGAAAAAAAAAAGCAAUGAAUUUUGUAAAAGAAAAUAUAUCAAUCUUUUCACCCGCAUUAACUCCAUUUUUUUUGUAUCCAUCUCAGAUUAGAAGAUAGAUAGAUAAAAGAGAAAGAUCAUUGGAAAAUUGUCGAGUUUCAGCUGAAAAAUUCCACUUACAGAGUCCGACAUCUUCUUUCUUUCUUGAUUUCACCAUUAAUUUCCUUUUUGGACAUAGCCUUGCUAGCUCUUUUGAUGCCUUGACGGAAUUUUAACAGGUGCCCCGUAGGCUCUACGACCUAGGGUAUGAAUUCUAUGAAUUUUAUUAAAAGUGAAAGAUGGAAUGGAUUUUAUGGAAGUUCAUUGUGGAUUGAAGCAUGUGGUCAGGUUAUGGCUGAUAUUUUUU
rnacentral:lncRNA from 1 species